rnacentral:rRNA from 1 species
AUUGAACGCUGGCGGCAUGCCUUACACAUGCAAGUCGAACGGUAGAGUAGCAAUACUUGAGAGUGGCGAACGGGUGAGUAAUAUAUCGGAACGUGCCCAACUGUGGGGGAUAACGUAGAGAAAUUUACGCUAAUACCGCAUACGAUCUAAGGAUGAAAGCGGGGGAGUCGCAAGACCUCGCGCAGUUGGAGCGGCUGAUAUCAGAUUAGCUUGUUGGUGAGGUAAAAGCUCACCAAGGCGACGAUCUGUAGCUGGUUUGAGAGAACGACCAGCCACACUGGGACUGAGACACGGCCCAGACUCCUACGGGAGGCAGCAGUGGGGAAUUUUGGACAAUGGGCGAAAGCCUGAUCCAGCAAUGCCGCGUGCAGGAAGAAGGCCUUCGGUUGUAACUAGCUUUGUUACGGAACGAAACGGUACCGUUUUACUUACAGGGGCGUAAUAGACGGUACCGUAAGAAUAAGACACCGGCGUAACUAACCGUGCCAGCAGCCGCCGGUAAAAGUACU